GAUUUAUACACCAUUAAUAAUCCAGGAUGUGUACAGGUAUCAGACGUAGAGCAGAGUUCAAGUUGGAUUAGCCACAGGUGUGGAGAGGUACUCAUAAAGCAACUCGCAGAUCCAGGAUUGUAUUAGCAGAUCAACCUCAAACCAGUGGCCACAGGAAUUGAGAUUGGAGAACCUCAGCAGAUCCAUUUCUAAUCAAGAGACCAGCGCUUGUAUAGGAGCAGUCGUAGGGCAAACAUCAGUUUCUAUGAAUACAUGAUUUAUACACCGUUAAUAAUCCAGCAUGUGUACAGGUAUCAAACGUAGAACAUAAUUCAAGCUGGACUAACCACAGGUGUGAAGAGGUAUUCAUAAAGCAACUCGCAGAUCCAGGCUUGUAUUAGUAGAUCAACCUCACGCUAGUGGCCACAGGAAUUGAGAUUGGAGAACCU